GAUGAACGCUGGCGGCGUGCCUAAUACAUGCAAGUCGAGCGAACAGACGAGGAGCUUGCUCCUCUGACGUUAGCGGCGGACGGGUGAGUAACACGUGGAUAACCUACCUAUAAGACUGGGAUAACUUCGGGAAACCGGAGCUAAUACCGGAUAAUAUAUUGAACCGCAUGGUUCAAUAGUGAAAGACGGUUUUGCUGUCACUUAUAGAUGGAUCCGCGCCGCAUUAGCUAGUUGGUAAGGUAACGGCUUACCAAGGCAACGAUGCGUAGCCGACCUGAGAGGGUGAACGGCCAGAGUGGGAAUGAGAUAGGGCCCAGACUGAGGCGGGAGAGAGCAGUGGGGAAUAUAGCACAAUGGGAGGAAGGCAGAUGAAGAAACGAAGGGUGCGGGAGGAGGGCCUGCGGGUUGUAAACAGAUUUCGCCUGGGACGAAGCGUGAGGGACGGGAAUGGGUAAAGAAGCACCGGCGGAUUACGUG
rnacentral:rRNA from 1 species